rnacentral:rRNA from 1 species
CGGAGGGUGCAAGCGUUGCUCGGAAUUAUUGGGCGUAAAGGGUAGGUAGGUGGUCUCAUUUGUCUGGGGGUGAAUGCCUUGAGCUUAACUCAAGAAGUGCCCCAGAAACGGUGAGACUAGAGUCUUGGAGAGGGUCGUGGAAUUCCCGGUGUAGCGGUGAAAUGCGUAGAGAUCGGGAGGAACACCAGAGGCGAAGGCGGCGACCUGGACAAGCACUGACACUCAACUACGAAAGCGUGGGGAGCAAACAGGAUUAGAUACCCUGGUAGUCCACGCUGUAAACGAUGGGUACUAGAUUUGGUGGGUCUUGACCCCCGCCGAAUCGGAGCUAACGCAAUAAGUACCCCGCCUGGGAAGUACGGUCGCAAGACUA